UAAAAAAUAAUAGCAUUUUUGUCGUUACAAAGCUAGGUUGAUGCUCGGUUGAUUGGUGAUAUCAAAUUCAGUAAAGAAUUUAAUGCAUAUUAAAAAUAUUAUUACACGUGAAGUGAUGAUGGUAUAGUGAGGCAUGGUCGCAAUGGUGGAGUCUAAUGGUGGUUCAGCUAGUGAUGGUGGACAAAGUGUUGGCUGAGUGUGGUGGCUAAGAUGGUAGGUGUGAAGAAUUUCUUUUUCCGAGAUUUUCUUUUUGAAAAUUCUUCGUGACAUGAAAAUUAAAAUAUUAUGCGUAAAUUAUAUAAAUUAUAAUUUAUUAUGAGAUAACGAAACUGUUUAAAAUGAAAAAAAAUUAGGUGCCCUAAAUAAAAAUUUAUAAAAGUUGCGUGAUCAUUUGCGUAGGUUGCACAUAUAUAUUUUACAAAGAAUUUUUUUCACUCGUAUUGUUAGUGUGCAUAUGAUUUGUAAUUUUUUUCCCCCUAAAUAACUCCAUUUAAACAAUGCUUUAUAUUUGAUAGAAUAUUUUUGUGUAAGGCGGUGCUAGUUGGCUACUAAGCUUAUGAACAAGAUUUUCAAAACUGGAUUGGGGUUGUAUCGGUCGUGCCACUAGUUCUUCAGCUCAACCAAUUCGAUUGAAUAAAUUAUUAAAAAAAUUACUAAAAAAUUAUUAAAAAUCUGGUUCAGCCUGAUUUAAUCGGUUUUCAAUCUAUAUUAAUCCUCAGGUUAAUUGGUUCAAUCUCUUCUCUAGAUCGAUAUUUUAAUUGAUUCUUAGUCCAAUUUACUGUUCAGUCCGAUUCGUUUCAAACAAUCUUAUUUUUUAGGUUACUUAGAAGUUCAAGAAAUUGCAACAUUUGUCCAAGGAAAAGUCAAAUAGAGUGAUAUAGCGUCCUUUUGAAACGUUUUUAAGGAGAAAAUGAUGGUGGGACAUAGACAUUCAUGUAUGCCUGCUUCCCAAAUUGCAUUAAUCGGGAAAGUGAGAACUCUUAAUAAGUAGUUGGUUUAAAGUUUGAACUUAAUAAUUCUUACCACACAGGUUACUUGGACUGGGAGCUUGGACUUUGUUGCCGGAGUGUCGGUAUUGAUUACGAUGAUGUGAUAUCAGAUAUGGAUUGGGAAGACGACCAAAGUAUGGAAGAUGCGGAAAUGAGGUUUUGAGUUGGAAAAUGCUGCGUCGGUUUGGCCACUCUCCCCUUGAAGGGAUUGGAUUCCGUUCGAAAUUAGGUUUAUGGAGCUCCACACGGACUGCGG
rnacentral:lncRNA from 1 species